AAACGUAGGAGCCAAGCGUUAUCCGAAUUCACUGGGCGUAAAGCGUGUGCAGGCGGACUGAUAAGUUGGAUGUGAAAUCUCCUGGCUCAACUGGGAGAGGCCGUUCAAUACUGUCAGACUAGAGGGCAAUAGAGGGAGGCGGAAUUCCCGGUGUAGUGGUGAAAUGCGUAGAUAUCGGGAGGAACACCAGUGGCGAAAGCGGCCUUCUGGAUUGCAUCUGACGCUCAGACACGAAAGCUAGGGGAGCGAACGGGAUUAGAAACCCCGGUAGUCCUAGCUGUAAACGAUGUAGACUUGGUGUCGGCGGGGUAAAAGCCGUCGGUGCCGAAGCUAACGCGAUAAGUCUACCGCCUGGGGACUACGGCCGCAAGGUUAAA
rnacentral:rRNA from 1 species